UGAAGACCUCCAUCAUAGGUUAUGUUUGCAUAGCGAGGAAAGGAAUGAUGUAUAAUACUUCUGUAGGAGAAUUAACUUGUCUAGGGCAAAAAGCUUAUGAUGAGGAUACAAAGAAUACAACUUGGUGGUCGGCUUCAAAUGUCUCAGAACCAUCUAACCCGUUUGCAAGAUAUGCCAAUUUAAAGGACGUAUGGUUUGAUCUAUCCAUCACAUCUAACUGGAG
rnacentral:lncRNA from 1 species